AUUACUAGACUCAUACCCCUAACCUAAUCCCUACCCCUAUAUAAUAGUACCUAAUCUCUAAAUUGACCUAGGCCUAAAAAAACCCAUCAUCCGCCGUUUCCCAUAAAAAAGAAUGGCAACCUUCCAUUUAAAAUCCAUUGUCUUCUUCAUUCCUGGUAGCUCUCAGCAGACUAACGCCUAAGAGCUUCAGCAGUCAAAAAACAUAACAACCAACAGCAGCAGCCAUUUUUGUCCUCCUCGGAAUUUGAUUGGCAAAGAUCGGUCUCCACCUCCCUCCAAAUCGGAAAAACCAGCAACACCCCAAAAUAUAGGAAUGAAACACAUACACAAACAAAGAACGGACGACCUCGCCUCUCUCCAUUCCAAGAGAACACCCUUCAGUCGUGAUUUCGAAAUCCUGGACCCUACCAAAAUCGACAAGCAACACCACCCGCAAUAGAGUAAAACGUAGAACAAAAAUGGUCUGGAAAGCAUCGUCCAAACAGAGCAAAUCAGAGGUGCCGACUCGAGGUCCGUUCCUGAAUUUUGUCGCGGUUCUGGCGAGUUUCGAGGUUUGGAUCGUAGUUUCAUCCAGAGGACGUUGGAUUCAAUUCUUGUAUUUUUCAUGGUAAACAGUUUGGCAUCCACCGUGAGCCAAGGGUAAUAGUGAUUGCCUGGUAUUAAUUCUCAUCACACACUGCUUUACGGUUGUUCUCGUAAGUGUCUUUGAUUUUAGGAAUCAAUAUGUUAAACUCUCAAAUAGCAUCCACUCACUUGGACAACGGCCUUGGUCUUCAUGGCGAGAACGAAAACGUUGCCGCCACGGGAAACGGAGUUCCUCCAGUCAACCCUGACGGACCGCCGGCCCUAGACCCAGUCGAUGUCAACUCCUGCAUUGCCAUUAAUGGGAAUUUGGGCGUCGUCCCUGAGAAUAGCAUUUGCAGGGAUGCUCGAGCAGCCGAUCAGAAUGCACAGAGCGGUGAAGAAGGCGGAAUUAGCCUUCAAAUAAUAUUCGAGAUGUUGCAGACUCAACAAGCUGCGAUAGCACAACUCUAAAAUCAGAAUCGAACACUAAGCAAAUUGAGCUCGAAAUAUCACAAGAAUUUAUUCAUAGAGCCGAACUUGUACCAGAAAAAUCGAACGCCAAUGAAUCGGGGACUGUGAGCACAUGAUUUUUGCCCUAUAGGAAUUACUCCCAUAAAAUAUAAGAAAAUAAAUUUUUCUCAAUUUUUGCAAUUUUAUAGGAUUUUGUGGGAAUUUGUGUUAAUUGGUGGCAUUUCUGUGCAUGUUUACUUUUAUUCAAAUAAUGAAAAAAAUACA